rnacentral:lncRNA from 1 species
CUCCCUGUGUGUUACUUGGGCCUAAGGAGCAAAGGAGCAUGCAGCAGGGUGAUGAUAAAGUCGUGAAUGUAGCACAUGGCUUUGGCACCAUAUUAUUCCUUCCCACAGUGGGUCGUCUAAUUAACAAAGGCAUCAGGCCGCCUCCCUUCAUGCCAGGAGACCCGCCGCAAAUUUCAGCUUAAUCAACUUUCACUCAAUUGGUGCACCUCCAAAGAGUAUCAAGACUUCAAUAAUUGCUCAAUUGUUAAGGAAUUAUUAAAUAGAUUUUGUGCGGAAAUGAAGUUUCAUGUAAUACCUUUGCAUCAUCAGAAUCUAAGCUUAUGUUCCUGGGCAAUUCUCUCUACCCCUAUGUUUCUCAGUGGCUUUUUCACCCAGUGCUAUUUUUAUCCAGCACAGAGGAACAAAUACAUAAAAGAAAUCUCAAUUUGUUAAAACCCGAUAUUAUGGCGUAAUGACUAGAUUCGACAAUGAACUGACUUUUGAAUUUUAGUGAGUGGUAAAUGAACGGAUUGGAAGCUGCUGCUUUUAGAAAUGGGCUCCUUCUGUUCCUCUAUUCUAAAUGUUAUACUAGAUGGAAAGUUAUUUUGCAGGUAUAGUCCUUUGCCUGAAGGUUGCUUUUAAUUUACUUGAAAUGGUGGUUCUUUUCCUUCCUUCCAUUAAAGCUUUCUUUCUAUUCAAGUCUAGAGCAUUGAAAAACCAUAGCUAAGUAUUUAGAUCCUUUGUGACUUACAGGUUUUAUGUAUAUAUUCAACCUGUAGUAAGCCAGCAAGUAUUUCCCUUCCCAGACAAGGAGAAAUAUUGUCUACAAGGAAAUGCAAAGUUCAGUGAGGCUUAAUGAAUUUCAUGAAGCCUUAGGAAAGUGAGAUAUCACAGAUGACUUUCUUUUCUCUUCUGUUCAUUUCUUUUCCCUUCUCUUCUCUUCUUUCUUUUUUUGAAUGCAGGAAACCAGAUAAACUAUUACUUAUAUCAGUGCUUAAACAGAAGAUCAGAAGAUUCCGGUUAAACUAAUCAAACUAAUCAAAGCAAUUAAGUAGACAGACAAGACUGACAGAGAAGACAGAUGACCAAAAACAAACAAACAAACAAAAUAAAACCCAAACUCCUCUUAUUUUAACCCUGUUCUACAAACUGGACAGAGAUGGCUCCUUCUUCAUUGGUUUUCCUUGGGAAUGAGAAAGCCUUUUUGUAAAGAAAUAGCAGCCUCCCUUUGCCUUCCUGGCUGCAAAUUUGUGGUAUGGAAGUAACAGUCCUUACACCUUGAGAACAAGAAGUAGUUCACACUGAUCAAUCUUACUUGAUUUAUUAGAAAAAUAAGAAAGUUCACUUUCCUUAUUUACAAAGUAUAUCUAUCAUUCAUCUUUAUGUUGAGAGGUAGUAUCAUUAGAGAAAAACUUACAAAAAAGAAAGUGGCCUUGGAUUUUAGUCCUUGGCUCCUAGCAGCUGUAUAACCUGGUAAGAUACUAAAUUCCUUUGGCUUUCACUUGUCUGAUCUAUGUAAUUGGAAUAAUAUUUUUGGACCAGAAAAUAGAAACUGAGAAAAGACAAGGCCUUCAUGUUCCUUCUAGAUAUACAUGCAGUUUUUAUGAUGGGCAGUUACCACUAAUAUUAUCAGGUCUGAGUUAAGAUUCAGGACUUCUCAUGUGCUAUGAAAAAACGAGGCUUCAUGCUAGAUAAUGAAAUAAAAGAAAAGUGAGGAAAGUCCUAAUGGUUAUCCAGCUUUAUCUCCAAAAGCAUUUCAAAACUCUCAGAAAAACAAAAAUGAACUUUUUUGGACAGUUGCUAAAUUGAUGGGGAUACCUGAUUAAAUCUGCAUGUUGCUGGCUUACUGGGUUGAUUACUGUUGCCCAUUUGUCUCUUUCUGGUAUCCUAAGUGAAUAUGUAGAGCAAAACCUCAUUUAUUUCCCCAGGUAAAUACAGCUAACUUUUAACUAACCAAGGAUGGACUUGCCACAUUUCUGGCAUGCUAAUCAAUCUAACUAAGGGUUUAAAAUAAUUUGUUGAACUCAUUUUUUUUUUUGUUUUGUUUUGUUUUGUUUCGUUUUUUUCAUUUUUCUCCUUCUCAUGGAGAAGGUGGAAACCUGCAAUCCACCUGGAUACUUAAGAAACAGGAUACCUAAUUACUGUUCCAGUUCUGUGGCUAUAUAGCAAACUAUCCCUAAAUUUACUGGCAUAAAACAAUGAUUUAUUAGGCUUAUUGAUUCUGUGGGUCAGAGGUUCAGUCAGAGCACCAUGGGGGACAGUUUGUCUCUACUCUAUGUUUGAGGUUUCAGGUGAAAGACUUGAAAAACUGUAAGAUGGGAUCAUUUGAAGUUUUCCAACUCACAUUUCUAGCAGUUGAUGAUGACUGUAGGCUGAAACUUAGCUGGGACUACUGACCAGAACACUUGCACAUGACCUCUCCAUGUGGUAUAUGUGGUAUGGGCUUCCACAAAACAUGCCAUGAGUCCUGAGCAGAUGUUGUAUCUUCUUGAUUUGGGUAGUCAUAUAAGAUCCCUUCCUUCCGACUCUAUUUGAGCAGUCAUCAGCCCAACAAGUUCAAGGGAAGAGGAAACAGACUCCAUUUCUUCCUGAGGAGACCAAAGAUUCUAAAAGAACAUGUAGGACUUCAAAUAUUGCUGUGCUCACUUCUGGAAAAUGCAGUCUGCCACAAUUACUUUCCCCUCGACAUCGAGAAGUUGUGAAAUAGAUACAGCCAAGUUAAUAUCCAAAGCAAAAAAUAAACUCCUAUUAAACAGUGCCUUGCUUCUACUUCAGAGUGGGGAGCUUUUCCUCUUGGGGAGAAAGGAAGAGGGAAAUGUUGUAUGCAGAGAGUCGUCUGUAACAAUUAGAUGGCUUGUAAAUUCUAAAAUAAAUUACUCCUGAAGUAAAUGCAAAUAUCAAAACCACAUGGCAACAUCAAAUUCAAAUUUUUUUUUUUUGGAUGGAUUUUUCAAAACCUCAAUUUUACUCCAUUGGACUGGAUAGUCUAGUUGCUGAUUUUUCUUCCAAUUCCCCAGGGUUAAAGAUGGUCCUAGUAAUGGUGUUUUCAAAGGAAAUGAAUGUGGUAACCACCUUCUAUCUCUAGUCAGGCUUCUAACUAUCUACUAACUUUGGAGAGUCUUCACUGGGAUCAGAGACAAUUUUUGAGUUAGUCAUUCAUUUGUUCAUUUAUUCAUUCAUUCAACCCAUAUUUGUUUAAUAUGUAGCAUGUGCAAGGCAUGCUAACUAUUAUUUUCUAUGUCAAACACAACGAUUGAUAAAAACAGGGUCCACUUUCAAUAGUUAUCAUAGCUAUAAUAAUAUUAAGCACUUAGUAUAUGCUGACAUUGUGCUAAUGCUUUAUAGCAUGAAUUAAGGCAGGCAUAAUUAUCACCCAUUUUACAGUUGAGCAAACAAUUUAGCAAAGCUGAUUUCCUGCCUAAGUCUGUAUAGCUAGUUGGUAAAAAAAUCUUGGUAACACACUCAGCUUUGGUGGAUUGAAAAGCCUGUUUAUUGUUUGUUUGUUUGUUUUCAACUAAGCUAAGCUAUUUCUUUCAAGAACUUUUCUUAGUGGGGUGGGGGAAAGGAAAUAAGAUAUAUUUAUAAAUAACUAGUUCAAGGUGAAAUUUAUUAAGUAUCAAAAAAGCUAUAGGAGUUAGGUGAGGCUACUUCUUUGUGGAAUGAUUAGGAGGAAGCAUCAUAGAAGUGGUGGCAUUUGAAUUAGAACUUGAAGAACUAGUAGGCUUUUAAUACUUGGAGAUGGGAUAAAGGAGAAAACCUAAUGUUGAGAAAAUGUGACAAGAGUAUGAAGAGCAUGGAGACAUUUGAGGAAGAGCAAAUCAUACAAUUUAGAGAAAUCUAUGUCUGAGAAUUAACUUGUCAGAAGCUGGAAAUACAGAUAACGUUCUUAUGGUGAAAUAUCAGGUAUGGCAGCUAAUGGAAGUUCAAGUAGGAGUUCAGUAAAUGAUGGUGAAGCAAGAGAAGGCAUAUGAGUAGGGGGUGACAUGGACAAAUUGGAGCAUCAGGAGGAGGAAUCUGGCUGAGAUACCUAGGAUGGACUGAAGGAGUUUGAAGACAGCAGUGCUAGGAGGUUUGCAAUCACUUGGAAGAUGGUGAUGAGAGGAAAGACGCUAUUAGCACCGAGAGUUAAAAAGAGAGUGAAAUGUAUUGGCAUUUCCAUAAAAACUAACCGAAAGUCUGGAGUCCAAAGUAGAGCCAUUUGUUAGCCCUACGUUUCUCACCAACUGACCCGUUGCUCAGUUGAAGUAAUUUGCCUCUUCCUUCAAAUUAUCUCUUUUUUAUUUUAUUAACUCAUAGUCUCAGGGGGCCCCCACUGAGCACCUGCUUCUAAUUUGGAAAUGUGUUGUCUUGGCUCUUGUUGAGACUCUUCUGCAUUUGAAAGUUUGUUUUCUAUUCUGUUUAUUUGGAUUAAAUGCUGUACUGUUAGACUUCGUACAAGUCACACGCCCUGACUACAAAGUCAGAAAAUAGUAUGAGAUCACCGAAAGCACAGAAUUGCUGGUCAGUGUUGUUCAGAGCAAGAGGCAGGAAGGGAUAACAGUGAAAUGUUGUGAGCAGUUUUGUAGAAGAGGCUUAUCCAAUUUUUGCCCCUGAAAUAGUUCCGAUUUUUUUUUUAAAAAAAGAAAUGAUGUGCCUGGUUCAUUCUGUUAACAUUUCCCUGUUCCUGUGCCCCUCAAGGUAGGUCUGUGCACAUGGAGAGGUUAAUAUUAAUAUUGCCUUUUUACAGCUAAAUUAUCUGGCUCUAGAACCAUUCACAGAUUCUAUUAAAGACCCCUAUGGAGGAUUGCUUCUUCAAAUAGGCAUUUUAAUUCACCCGGGUACAAUAAGGUGUUACCUUGCUUUCAUUAAUAAAAUGGGAACUCAUAAAGAAAACCAGAUUAUCUUGAAUUUAUGAUCAAGUAAUUUUGUUUCUCUUAGCCUGGAUAAUAAUUGUGAAACAUCAUUUUCCCCUUUCUUUCUUUUUCCCUUCAUACACUUCGACAUUCUUAAUUUCUCAUGUUUAUUUAUCUUUUUUAUUUUAAUUUGACAGGAAAAGCUAUCUAGGACCCCAGGAGGCAGAUGCUGUGACUCAAGAAUUGGUCCUUUCCAUCUUGAACUUAAUGAAAUAAUAAGCCAGUAAUUGAUUUAUAUUUAUAUUUACAUUUGCCUUACAAAUUCUGGGAUUUUGUCACCUUUAUUGUAAUUCUAUAAGCAGUCACUAAAUUACUUCCAAUAAACUCUAUUUCUCCUUUACCUACUCAGUGAUUGAAGUCCUUUAUCGUAGUCUAGGGGCUUUGUUCUUCCCUCUAGUUUCUCAUGUCAUUUUUCCUCACCUCAAAUCUUAGUUUUCAUUUUAAAUUGUUAAUGAAUUAUUUUUGGCCUCAAAUUCUUUGUACCUUUAUCAACAGAGUGUGUGCUGCAAACAGUCUAGUUUUGUGGCUUUCUGUUUUCUGCUUGAUGACAUCUCAGGUAUUCUGGGGAAGAUAGGCUUCUGUCAUUACUAACAAUUUAGGACACAAUUCGGAAAUGAGAAGUAAACAAGUGAGGCUUCUGAGCAUUCUAAUUGUCUCUCACAACACCUUGUCACCAAAACUAUGAUCUUCCUGGUCCUUUCAUUCAGACACUUGUUGCUUUGUCCAUGCUUAUGAAGGGGUGUACAUUAUCUGGUAAGAAGCAUCUACUGUGUGUCAGGUGCUUUUUCAUACAGCAUCUCACUUAAUUCCACAAUUUACAUAUCAAUGUUCUCAUUUUACAGAUGAGCAAUUCAAGCUGAGGUUGUAAAUUAUCGAAACCACUACAGCUAGUAAGUGGCAGUACCAGAAUUUGUCCUGGAUCUGACUCCCAAAGCCAUGAUGUCAUUCUAUUUCACAGCACCUCAGGGUGCUGCAGUGAGCUGAGUCUUCUAAGAGAAAAUUAAAUUAUGUUCUGUGGCUUCA